GGCUGUCUCCACCCGAGACUCAGUGAAAUUGAACUCGCUGUGAAGAUGCAGUGUACCCGCGGCAAGACGGAAAGACCCCGUGAACCUUUACUAUAGCUUGACACUGAACAUUGAGCCUUGAUGUGUAGGAUAGGUGGGAGGCUUUGAAGUGUGGACGCCAGUCUGCAUGGAGCCGACCUUGAAAUACCACCCUUUAAUGUUUGAUGUUCUAACGUUGACCCGUAAUCCGGGUUGCGGACAGUGUCUGGUGGGUAGUUUGACUGGGGCGGUCUCCUCCUAAAGAGUAACGGAGGAGCACGAAGGGUAGCUAAUCCUGGUCGGACAUCAGGAGGUUAGUGCAAUGGCAUAAGCCAGCUUGACUGCGAGCGUGACGGCGCGAGCAGGUGCGAAAGCAGGUCAUAGUGAUCCGGUGGUUCUGAAUGGAAGGGACAUCGCUCAAC
rnacentral:rRNA from 1 species